UACGUAGGGUGCGAGCGUUAAUCGGAAUUACUGGGCGUAAAGCGUGCGCAGGCGGUCUGUUAAGACCGAUGUGAAAUCCCCGGGCUUAACCUGGGAACUGCAUUGGUGACUGGCAGGCUUUGAGUGUGGCAGAGGGAGGUAGAAUUCCACGUGUAGCAGUGAAAUGCGUAGAGAUGUGGAGGAAUACCGAUGGCGAAGGCAGCCUCCUGGGCUAACACUGACGCUCAGGCACGAAAGCGUGGGGAGCAAACAGG
rnacentral:rRNA from 1 species